UCAGCUGGCCCCUCCCACGCUCUGGUUGUAACAUCUGAAAUGGACAAACAAUGGAGCUGUUUGACGUCACUUCUCAGGAAGUGAAAGAGGAUUUAUGUCACCUUUUGACACAUUGUUGAGCCACACAUUUUCUAAACAUAAUCCUACUUCUGCUACUGAAGAGACAUUUUGAUGAGGCUGACGGUGAAUUCUUCCUGAAGGUGUGUUUAGUGGCACAGCUGAAAGUGAUUAUCAUUUGUUCCAGACAAAACGGAGAUGCAUCACCUUGACGUCUGUGCCUUCAGAUUUCUUUCCAUGUACUUUGUUUUUGUCUGUUUGAGCUCAUUAAACGUGGCUAGGAGACCGAGUAGUAUGUCCCGAGGAGGAAGCUCGUCUUCCAAAAGCAUUACCGUAACACAGUGCGUCUAUCCCCUGGGUAUGCUUCUCUGCCCGUCCCCACUCUUUUGUGGCCCCGAGCCAAACUAUGUGUGUAUAUUUGAUAUUAUUAGUAGGAAAACUGCUUUAAGGUAUAGAAAAUGUCAGGGAAGAGAGCUAUUUUUAACAGCUGGCCUUGAUUCUUUUAUUCCCUCCUUUUUUUUUCUUUUUAUAUCUAUGCAUGCAGCAUGCUCUUUUUCACCACUGGGAAUUAUACCGAGUGCUGGCUGGGUAUCAGCGCCCCCUCUUUCACCUCCAUGCCCUGCCCACUUCCAUACUUUGAAGGCUGAUAAAUCACAAGGUGUCAGGCUCUUCCACCUCACAUGAAAACAGAAAAGUUGGCCAUUCUGAGACACGCAGCGGAGCCAUCAUAGCUUUGCUAUUUUUAGAUAACUUCCUUUUUAAUUUGAUUCAGCCAGUGACAAAUUAAUCAAGCGCCUAGCCAAGUGUUUAAAUAGAUUCUUCCAAGCGCUAUGCAAAAAUCCAAUCCUGCAGUUAUUGAUACAUACUAGUCCUCACUGACAUUGUAGUGCUUAUGCAGGCAGGAGAACUCCUCCUCCGUUGUGUCAGCUGAGAUUUGUCAGACAAAGAAAAUGCAGAUAUCAUUUUAUGUGUGCUCGUAGAAGUACACUCAAAUGCAAAUGUUUGAGUGGAAACUACAUAGUUAGAGUGGAAACAUCUGACCUAUACCUUUUAUAAUUAAUCACUGAGAACGAACUGGUUAAUUGCAGAGAAAAAGUUUACAUUUUCUCCCUCCUCUGGCUUUUCUCUUUAGAUGUUUGGAAAGCAUUGUUAUCUACCACUUUAGAACCCAUGGAGAUUAUAAUCUCUCAGUUGCCUUGAUCACAUUGUUUCAGGGACAUAUUUUGAAAAGAGACAGAGAGGAGAAUAGUAUGACUCUGUGAUUAAAUCUUUGUCUAAAAAUACCAAAUUUGUGAGCUGUCAUUCUAGAACAAAAGAGGAAUAUUUUCCCUUUUCAAAUGGGAAUAAAAAUGCAAUGUUGUUCCUUUGUCAGACUGUUAUUUUUGGUGCUCAAUGUGGAAAGUGUAAUUACAAAGCAUUAUGUUGCUUUUUUCACUGCAGACUGGGCCAGACUUGAGCGAGGCAGCAGCUCGGUUGUAACGAUACAUCUAUUCGUUCUGAUGAUUUUCGGCAUGGCCAUUUUGGUUCAUCGUGUUUUUGUACCACACAAAUGGUCAUGGUUAAUGCCCAGUAUACAAAAGGGUUGUAUACGAAGAACUAAAGGGCGGACCUUCAAGUUUCACUCAUUCCAAUGUGAAAAUUUAUAAUGCGACGUCAAAUAUUAUAAAAUAGCAUUUCAGCCUAUCUUUACAAAUGGGGUAAAGUAAAGUGGUUUGAACUGAAGCUAUGUCAGUGUUUUUAACAGCAAUAAAGUAAAAAACCUGCUCUCUGCUGAACCACUCACAUGAAGUAAAGUCAAAAAUGUAAAACAUAUUGUCUGUAAUACUCAACCAUCGCUAAUGCCAUGGGAACCAUUAUUGUUACGACUGCAACCAAGCACCGGUACCGUGUCAGAAGGAGGAAGAAGGAAUGUUUUAUGAAGGAUAUAUAUGUGGUUUUGGAAAACCUACUGCAAUUAGGAAAAACUUAGAUGUGAUGUGUGUCUUAAAAUCAAUCUGAUGUAAUUUGCAUGCAUAAAAGAAUGGUGUGUGUAAAUGUAGUGUUGAUGUUGUAGUUCAAGUCAUAUUUGUUAGAACUCUUGGUAAAGAUGUGUAAAAAAACAACAAAUAAACUGUCAAUUUGAUGC